AUUGAACGCUGGCGGCAGGCCUAACACAUGCAAGUCGAGCGAGCGGCGGACGGGUGAGUAAUGUAUGGGGAUCUGCCCGAUAGAGGGGGAUAACUACUGGAAACUGUUGCUAAUACCGCCUACUGUCGGAUGAACCCAUAUGGGAUUAGCUAGUAGGUGGGGUAAAGGCUGACCAAGGCGACGAUCUCUACCUGGUCUGAGAGGAUGCUCAGCCACACUGGAACGGAGACACGGUCCAGACUCCUACGGGAGGCAGCAGUGGGGAAUAUUGCACAAUGGGCGAAAGCCUGAUGCAGCCAUGCCGCGUGUAUGAAGAAGGCCUUAGGGUUGUAAAGUACUUUCAGCGGGGAGGCGUUACCAGCAGAAGAAGCACCGGCUAACUCCGUGCCAGCAGCCGCGGUAAUUC
rnacentral:rRNA from 1 species